rnacentral:rRNA from 1 species
GACGAACGCUGGCGGCGUGCUUAAUACAUGCAAGUCGAACGCAAAGUUUCUACUGUCGCUUGCUACACCAUAGAAAGUGAGUUGUGAAAGGGUGAGUAACGCGUCGGUAACCUGCCUGGUAGCGGGGGAAAACUAUUGGAAACGAUAGAUAAUACCGCAUAAUAUUGAUUGUUGGAUGGUUAUUGAUUUAAAGGAGCAAUUGCCUCCCUACCAGCUGGACCUGCGGUGUAUUAGCUAGUAGGGGAGGUAACGGCUCACCUAGGCGACGAUACGUAGACGACCUGAGAGGGGGGUCGGCCGCCCUGGGAGGGAGACAGGGCCCAUGCGCCUGCGGGAGGCAGCAGUAGCGAACCUGCGGCAAUGGACGGAAGUCUGACCGAGCAACGCCGCGUCAGUGAAGAAGGUUCUCGGAUCGUAAAGCUCUGUUGUGAGUGAAGAACGGGUUUGAGAGUGGAAAGUGCACACUGUGACGGUAUCUAACCAGAAAGCGACGGCUAACUACGUG